AUGCGGUCCGAAUAUGUUGAUGGCACUGAACCUGUCACACAAGUUGAGGAUGUGCCCUUGCAGCUUCUUGUAGAAGAUGAACAGAAGAGGAAAACACUAGCAAAAUAUGAGAGGAAGAAGGCGACCCAUCUACAAAAAGUUGUUGAUUUUGCUGAGCCCGCAGUUGGGCAUGUGUCCGGUGUUGAUGAAAAUGUUACGCGUGACAGUGAUACCAUGGUUGCUCCUGUGACGAAGAAAUUCAAGCGAACCAUAUCAAAGAAGCAUCUUGUUGGUGAAGUUACUCCUUGGAGGAGCCCAUGCGUUUCAAAUGUUGUAGGUCCAACUAUAGGUGAACUUCCUAAAGUUGAUGUCCAAGCUCCAAGUGGUACCCCACGCCGUAGUUCACGGGUUCUUGCUUAUGUGAAGCCACAUCGUCUCCGAUUGGUGGUGCUAGUUCUGGGAAGGGAAAGAAGUGUGGCAAUAAGUGCGAGGGGUGAUGAGGAUUUUGACGCUAAUGACGAGGAUGGUGAUGAUGAUGUUGCUGAUCAGUACGAGCUUGUGAAGAGACCUGUGAGGAAGAAUAGAGGAGGAAAAGUAGUGGAAGGAGCUGAUGAAGGAGGCGACGAUGCAAAACAUUUUAACAAGACGGUUCACUGCUCACUAAAAGAGGUCAAUGCGUGCGCAAAGUUGCUGCAGCAUAGGCACAAGGAGAUGGUUAUCAAGUCUAGUUUUGGUUGUGUCUUUGAUUUGAAGGUGUUUUACCUGGUUCUUUUCAUGAAGGUUGUUAUUCUUGGUACGUCUAUACGGGUUUCCAGGGAUGCGGCAAUGGCUGAUAAUCUUGUCUCUGAAGAUAUGGCAAAUAUGGACUAUUAUUGCCUUAUCAUUGGCAAGAAGCCUAAUGCUAACUUGAGAACUCUUCGCAUCAAUUUCAUGGAUCAAGCCAAGCUAACUGAGCUUGUUGUUGCUGACUUGGUUAAGAAGUGGAAGACACAAGCUAAGUUUGUGUUCUUUACGCAUAUCGAACGUGCUGCUCUUACUAUGCCUUGUGCCACCGGUAUCGGGAUUGAAGCUGCCCCAAGAAUUGAAUGCUCCAAGGAUGUCAACACUGGUGCUCCCCCUAUAGAUCCUGGAGGUUCUUCUGCCCAUGUGAAUGCUGAAGCUGGCAUUUCUUCAGAGUCUGCUAAGUGUUUCUUUGAUGCUGCCACUAUUUCCCUUGGUAGGAUAUAUGGUCUUUUGAGCAUAGUUUGUGGGGAGGUUGUCCGUGUUACGACGACGGUUCAAUGUCUUAGUUGUGUUGAUGGGAUUCUUCCACCUGGUCAUUGUUUUGAUGCGGAGUCUUCGAAGGAUGCUUUGUCAAUUGAAGAUGAAAUUCUUGCUGAGAUUCGUCAGAGCACGUUCCACCGCAGUACCAUCUUUGGAUUGUUCAAGAAAAUUGUUUGUUAUUUGACCCUAUGCUUAAUGUCUUUGGACUUCCUUCAUGUGGUUACUUUUCCUAACAUACUUUACCUAGGGGCUCCCAGUAGUGCGGAGUGCAAGAAGAUAAUAGAUCUUAUUAGGAUGAUGCAAUUAUGCUAUUGGAGGAAGGGCCCGACAGGGCCCUCCCGAACUUCCCGAACUCAGGGACCAGGUACCAAGAUUUGCGGCAACCCCAACCCUGAUCCCGAUCCCCGCCUCCCCUACUCUUCUCAUCCCCUCGAGCACCGGCCGGCCGUCGCCUCCACUGCGAUUCGCCGCUGUCGACCGCCGAUCUCCCCUCCCAUCCCUUCUACCACCGUCCCUAUUGUUGGUACCCUCCCUUCUACCUCCCGUCCGACCACUAGUGCGAGUCAGCGAGUGAUGGUGGACGAUGGUGCAAGGGAGCCCGCGACGGAUGGAGGCGGCGAAGCCGCCGGAGCGGGCACCAUGGAUAGUUGGAGGCCUCCUCCUUCCCUCCCGAUCUCCUACCCGCAGCUCAGCAACGAUGGCGAAGCAUGGUGCCACAUGUACCUGAACUGCUUGUUGCAAGCAUAUGAACUUCGCGCCAUCUACAAGCCAUGGAAUGCCAUGGGAUUCAUCUCUAAACUCUCCGGCGCAUUGCUCUCAAGGUGGCCUAUCUACUUCUGGAAAAGGGUGGCCGAACUUCUAGCCAAUGAUGAGAGACGCAGAAAGAAGGUUAGAAUUUCCCAGCAACAAGUAUACAACCAUAAGCAUGUACGCGUUGCACUGCCCCCUGAAUGGGUCACACCUCAAACACACCCUCAACAUUCCCAAUCUGCUCCACACCAAAAUUGGGUGACACUCGAAAACCUAGCAAACUUCCAAGAUGCUGGGUCACACCCUGAUCCGCAUCAUUUUGCACCUCCACCUAAUUGGGUGACGCUGGAAAUCCCCCGUGGAUUCUUUGUAUCCAUCAGCAAACUUUCAAGCACACCGAUGGAGGAUGGUGUUAGCUCAGGUUCUGCGUAUAACUCUGGAGGUUAUCCUGGUGUGUCUCAUCAAUGUGAAAGAGCAGCAAGUCAACCAGAUGCCAGGACUAUUCCAAUAGUAACAAACUUACGGAGGAAAGUUCUCUGCACACUACCACCGACAGAUGUUGAUGCUGCUGCUACAACUCAUGAUCAUACGAGGAUAGGCUGCAAUGCAAGAAUGAGGGUGAAGGUGCAAGAGGAUAACACUUGUGUGGUGGUGGACAUCGAAUACAAUCAUCAUCACUACCUCAUCCAUACUGCUGACCUGCUAUCGAGGAUAUUUGAUGUUGCCCUGGUCAGAGACGAAGAUGCAAAAUCAUUCAAGUGCCUCUUCGAUACAUUUGUACGGUGCAUGAACGACAAACACCCAACUUGCAUUCUCACAGGAAUCAUAGAAGUUCAAUACACUACAAAAAAUCAAGUGAUAAAAACAUAUCACGGCUAUGAGGAAGACAUGGCUAUCAAGGCCUUCUAUGUUCUCAAGAGGAUCAUAGAAGAACUUGACGCCAUACAUUCAGCAAAUCAAAGAGAUGUUGAUGAAAGAAAGGAUGAAGAGGAUGCUGAAAUUGAAGAUGAUCUUGCUUAUUAG
rnacentral:rRNA from 1 species